UGCUUGCCAAGUGCCCUGAGACAAGAGU
rnacentral:piRNA from 1 species